AGAAAAUAGAUAUUUUAUAUAAAGUUAUAUUUUAAACAGCUGCACAAUAGUAUUAAUAUUAAUUUAUUUUAUUGUGUUGAUACUCCUAAAUGAUUCGUUUUAGUUUUGGCAAUAUAAGAGUAGUGCCGACUCGUAAAUAACUGAUUGUAGUAGAUAUAGGUAUUUAUUUAUUUACGAUUUACGAUUAAUAUUGUUACCAUUAUUUCUCGAUUAUUUUUUAUUUAUAAUAAUAGAUUGAGCGUAUUUAUUUGUAAAACGCUAAAUAGAUAUUAUGGUGAUGAUAGAAACAAUUAAUGGAUGGAAAUUAAUAAAUAAUGGAGGUUUUACUUGAUUAAUUUAAUUAUUCGGUCUCGAGAUACAGAAGGUAGUGAUCCAGUGAGUGUUGUUGACUGGAAAACGUAAUGAUGAUUGAAGUCAGUUUAUUGGAUAUGGUGAUAGCCACCAUGGGAGUGCUAAUAACCAUGGCCCUAUUGAGCUGUUUAUGCUGUUUGUGUAUGAAAUUCAGUGAUCUCCGGUUGAAGUGUUACAUAAUAGAAACAGCAAAGAAGAAAGGCAUUAAGGUAGACCUCGAUAAGUUGGAUCCCAAACGUGAAUGCCAAUCGCUGCAAGCAAACGAACAUUGCACAAUUAUGGUGCCAGAUGUUGGUAUUAUACUAUAGCUUGUAAGAAAAAGUAUUUAUAAACAAGUUUGCUUGUAAUUAUAGUAAGGUUACAUAACCUUUAUUGCCUCUGAUAUGUAUAUACCAGAGGUAGAAUUUGUGUAAAAUUGAAUGUAUGAGUACUUCUCAAUUCACUUGUCUUAUACUUGUUUCUAUUACCAAAUAACAGUCUUUCAUACUGGUAUUGUUCAGGAAGGCGCAUACGUACUCUUUGCAAAGCUUUGCUCGCAUCUUAGGGUGGGCAUAAGAUGAUUCUAGGGUGGGCGUCAGAGGAUUGUGGGGUAAGCAUGGCUCACCCAACCUCCAUUGAAAUGACGACUUGGAUCUUAAAUUAUUUGGUUCCAACAUUAUUAGUAGGUAAUAUGAGAGUAUUGGCUACAAUUUUUCAUAUAAUUCUGUGCAAUUAAGAGUAGUGACUCUAUGUUUUUUAUAUUUUCAAUUAAUCCAGAGUGUCAUAUGUAGAAAACAUUUAAACAUCAAAAUCUCAAUUUUGUUACUAAGAGCACUAAAUUUAUAAAUAAAUAACUAUAACAACUUUUUAUAGAUUUCUUAUAUUAGAUUAUAUAUAUAUAUAUAUAUAUAUAUAUAUAUAUAUAUAUAUAUAUAUAUAUAUUGUAUUCAUGUACGCUACUCUGUGCUGUAGACGACACUAAGAGAAAUGUUUAUACCACAUUAUAUUAAUGGUAAGUGAAUCCCGUGUCGUGUGAACAAGCCUUUACUGUAUACACGUAUAAUAGGGUACAUUAUAGUUUUAUAAAAUUUCUGUCUGUGUUAGUUUUUUAAAAUUCUAACGAAAUAAUUUAAACCUACCGCUCUAGACAAGCGGCGAACGAAUUUAUCAAUAGAGGUCUUCGUUAAUACACACUCGUGAAAGAAUAAGACGACGAAUAUUGCUGUCUCGUUCUAUCUCAUGUACGCUCAGCGAUGACGUAUUUCUGACCGAUUAUCAUUCGCUAAUGGCUAAAGGGCUGUAUAGUAUAGUAGUUAAUGUCGCUUGAUUGAUCAAGUAAUGUACAUUUUUUUAUAGCUCAAUCUUUGCCUUGAUUCUUCGUCGGCUUUAUGCUGGUUUUGUUAGCCGAGAAACCUUUGUAUUAAACGUGUAUGUAUUAUUGAUAUUAUACUCAAAUGAAGUUCCUAUCGUAAAUAAAAAAAAAAGUAGUCAUAUUUGUACCCUCAUAUUCAUAAAAAAACAUUACAUCGUGCUAUUUUCCCUUUUUCUCAAAUUAGGAAUUUAGCUAGAGAGAAAGAGAUGAAAUAUAGUAAGUUAAAAUAGAAUUUUAUGAUAUAGUGAGAUUUAGUUUAGAGAAUAUACUUAAAUGAGAAAGUAGAUGUAACAAUUAUUGAAUCUUUUAUAUUAUUCCUAGCUUUCGAAUAGGUAUAUACCUAUGUAUAUAUACAUAUAUAGUAUAUGUAAACUUGUCUAAACAUUUGAAAGUGAAAAUGAUAGAUUUAAUAAGAUUUUAAUGGUACUAUACAGUAUGUUAAUUAACGUAACCAAUUCCUAAAACUAGUGUUAGUAUUUAAAAAUAUAUAUGACUAAAUACUAAAAAAUAUAAUUGUCGAAAAAAAGAACAACCUGUAUCUUUACCAACGGAAAUGCAUAGUACAAUAUAUGUACAUACCUAUUAUUGAGUAGUGCCGUUGGGUUUUGGUGAUAUUAAAAAAAAUCAAGGAAAAAAAAUGUUUUUAUAAUUCUAUUAUUGUAAUUAUUUAUAUUUAUAAUAAGUUUACUAUUGUAAUUUUUUGGGGGAAACAAUAAAAAGUAACUAUCUAUCUAUCUAUUUAAGAAUACAAAACUUUGUACAAAAGUCGAUUGCUUGGGUACCUCUGUCUCAUUCGAGUUUCAACCGCGAAGCAGUUGUGUUUGCAUGGCUGUGUUUCGGUUUGAAGGGUGGGAUAUGGCGUGAAUUUACUGGGUACAGAGGAAUAUCACCUGAGUCCUCAGGAAUGGCAACGCAUGGGGGGUAUCAUGGGCGAAACAGUAUACUCUGUUAUGUCCAUGGUACUGCUCAUGUGUAUAGGCGACGGUUACCACUUUCCAUCAGGUGGGCCGUCAGCUUGUUUGCCAUUCUAAGUUGUAUAAAAAAAAAAAAAGAAUAGUUUUAAGUAAGAGGUUACGUCAGUUAACAUACUGUAUACUAAUAUUAAUAACUUCGAUUUUUACAACUAGAGCAAUUAUAAUAUAUGUAGAGACACCCACUUAUUUUAUAUACUAUUUAAUAUAUUAGAACGUAGUUUAGAACGUAUAUUACUAGAGAGAAUCUUGGACACAGGUAUUUUAUAGAUAAGCAAUUUUCGCCUUAAUCGUUUUCAUCUAUAAUAUAUACUUAUAUAAAAACGUAUUUAUUGGCUUAGUCGUUAAAUAAGAAAAGUGGUAUACACGUUAUAAAUAUUUUUUUUCUAUUUAUGACAAAGGGCUUAUGCCACCAUCGUACAACCCGCCAUAAACUAAACUUUCAUCCCAACCAUCUGGACGAGUGGUGGUCCUCCACCGUGCGUUUUUCAAGGCACUUUCUUCCACGCACAACCACUUUUUGGAAUCAACUUCCAGCAGCAGUAUUUCCGAACUGAUACGACAACAUAAACUUCAAGAAAAGAGCAUAUUCCCUUUUAAAAGGCCGACAGCACGCCUGCAAUGCCGUUGGUGUUGUGGGUGACCAUGGGCGGCGGUAGUCACUCACCAUCAUCACCACCGCAUGCUCGUUUGCCCUCUGUGAUGUAAAAAAAAAACCUAUGUAUAUAUAAAUGUCCAUGGUAUUGUUUAUGUCUAUAGGCGACGGUUACCACUUUCCAUCAGGUGAGCCGUUAGCUUAUUUACCACUCUAAGUUGCAUAAAAAAAUCUUUAUUACUGCUUUAUUUUAUUUUUAAGCCACCUUAAAAAAAAAGAAAAGAUUUCAAUAUAUCUGAUAGAUAGAUCCAAUUUUUUAUUCACUACAAAAGAUAUUAGAUAAUUAACAGAAAGUUUUAUUAAAAAAAUAUUUUAUUUAGUUUAAUGUAUUAAAAUUAAAACUUAUAAAAGUUAUAUAUAUUAACUUUUAGAUUUUGUCAUUUUAUUAUUAUAUUAUUAUUUUUAAUUCCUAAAAUUUUUGACUAUUAGAAGGUGUAGGGACACCGUUAAGCGGUGGAAAUACGUUUGUCCUUACUUCUGAUAUUGAGGAUGAAGCGAUUACAAUAUUUAAGAAGGUACGUGCACUUACUUACUACUUGAUUUCAAGCCGAGUGCAAGGACGAGUUAACUAACUGCCCUCCAACUUAAUAAUAAUGUAAUCGCUUCAUAUCCGCGAGAUGUGGACAUUCGAUUAAGAAUCGAAUAAUCGAUUGAUUGAAGCGCCGCUUGGGACGAUACAGAAGGUUUAUCUUAAAAGUAAAAUACAUCCACUGUAAUAUUUCUGUUUAAUUUAAAGCUUAUUACAAAAAGAGGAGGGUCUUAAUUUGUUUGGUAGGUACUUUAGUGUUAUCUUCAAAAGUGUGUGUGGUUUUGCAUGUUCUGGAUACGACAACGUUGACACUUACUGUUUCCUUUCAUGCACUCUAAUGUAACUAGCGAAACUAAGUUUGUUUUUGAAGACCUAGUGCGGUAUAGUUGGCUAGAUUUAUUGUUUAUAUAUAUGUAGGAUCGUUUAGCACAAGUCUUAAGAGCGAAACAUUUAAAAAAAAUAUUAUUAUUGUUAUUUCAACCGUUAACUGUAAAGGAAGAAUAAGGGAAGUUUUGCCAGUAGUUGCCACGCUUGGCAGGCGGGUUGGCAACGGCAGUUAGUCUUUUAGAGAUGUUUUAAGAGGGACGCUACUGUCCAUCCCUCGCCCUUCCUUCCACGGGAAAGAAAGGGAUGUCCCAUUCUAUGUCGGGGCAUACACGGAGAUUUAAAAGAUUACAGUAGUAAAUAAAAAAAAAAUAAGUAAAUUAAAUUAAAUAAAAAAAAAAGAUCUUAUUGAUAAAUGCAAUAUCUUCUAGGCAACCAUUCCAAUAGCUGUAAACCAGCGUCUAAAUCUCAUGUGAUGUUAUAGAUGAGCAAAAUUACUAUUGAAAGUGUUCAAGGUCUAAAAUAUUUGUAUCUUGUAUUUAAAUCUUUAUUUUCCUAAUAUAUAAUGUAGAAUUUAACAUAGAAACUGGAUAUUCUACGAGUCAGGAAAAUAUUCGGAAUUAUUAUCUUUGCAAUAUAUAUGUACGUACUUAUCUAAAAGGUAAUAUUAAUAGAUGGAAACUAAUUAAGUUUAAUUAAAUAAAUUUAAUUAAUUAAUUAUAUUUAAUACUUUCAAUAUUAUAUUAAUAAAAGUAAACAAGUACGCAAUAACCUAUGUAACGCUGGAAAGAAGAACGGCAUAUCGAUUAUAACAAUCGACGUGCCGUUAAACCGAUUUGGAUUAUUGUUUUUUUUAUAUUUAAGGAAUUUGCUGAAAAACAAUAUAUUUCACUUUUGUGGAACAGCAUUUUAGAUAAUUUAAAUGAUUAAAAAUAAUUUGAGUUAUUUAAAUUAAUUAAAAUUGUUGUGUUCCGUUACAACGAAUUUAAUUUUGAUUUUACUAUGUUGUUCGUACAGCGAUACACACAAAAAAAGUGUCCUUUAAGCUCAGUCAGAUAUUAAGUUAUCGGCACAUCUAAUUUCAUAUAAAAUAUGCACGGUAGGUUAUCUAUGAUACACGUACGAGUAUUGAUACGAUCUAGUCACGUUUUAAUUAUAAGUAUAGAUACUGAUCUCAUUUUGUGCAUUUAUUUAAUUAUACUUAUAAAUGCUGAUCUCAUUUUGUGCAUUUAUUUAAUUAUACUUAUAGAUGCUGAUCUCAUUUUGUGCAUUUAUUUAAUUAUACUUAUAUAUGCUGAUCUCAUUUUGUGCAUUUAUUUAAUUAUACUUAUAGAUGCUGAUCUCAUUUUGUGCAUUUAUUUAAUUAUACUUAUAUAUGCUGAUCUCAUUUUGUGCAUUUAUUUAAUUAUACUUAUAGAUGCUGAUCUCAUUUUGUGCAUUUAUUUAAUUAUAAGUAGAGAUGUUGAUUUUUUUAUGCAUUUAUUUAAUCAUGUAAGUCAAUAAUUUAGAAUUUUAAUAAUUUACUUUGUCUGCGCAGAGAUGAUGGCUUUUUGUUUGCGUACAUAAUUUCCAUUUGUGUAAACCAUGUAUUUGAACAACGUGUACGCAUACGAUAUUAGAAAAAAUAAAUACUAAAAUCAUAGAGAAUGAUUGAAAAUUUUUUAAACGGACGAUGUUGGAAUUUGCACAUUCCACGCCAUGUUCAGGUCAGUUUAGCAGUUCAGCUACCGUUGAACACCCGCUCAUGAAUUUGCAAUUUUGAAGUAAAUUACUAAGUGUCUAAUUAAAAAUGUUUAUUCGGGUUAUUAGGUCAUAAAUCGACGAAUGUUUUUCAUCAGUUAUGAAGGGGCAUUUCGCCCGCACACAAAAUUUCUUAUUGGCGCAGGUCAUAAAGUGUAUUUUUUUGUCAUAAGUUAUUUUUAGUCCAUUUUUAUGUAUAAUGUAUAAAAAUACUUAUAAUUUUUUAUAUAUAUUUUUUAUUAAGUUGUAUUGAAUUAUUAGAUACGUUUUACAAGGGAUUGAAAUUGUAUACCUAAGUAAAAAUUGUAUGAGUUCUCACUCUACUGUUAUUCUUCUAUUGAUUGAAAAAGUAACGAAGUUUGUGAGAAUUUACUGAAAUGUAAUUAAAUAUGUAUGUACAAUGUUUAACAAUAUUUGUUUGUAAUUGUUAAAUUAUUUAUCUUCACUGUAAGUCCCUUAUGGCUAAUAUAUAUUAAGGGUCUUUGGUGUUCUCUUCCCUUUAAAUUUCAAGUUUAAAUACAGAGCUGUUGUUUUAAUACGUUCGUAAAUCGAUCAUAUCCUAGUGGACUAGUGGAGUAGUCAUCAUGGACUCUUAAGUCCAUGAUGACUAGUCUCGCGUUUCAGAGAAAACGAAAAUUGAGGGUAUAAAUAGAUUUAUUUUUUAUUUCCUAAUGUAUUACCAAUUGAUGCUAUCAAACUAGUUGUAGAGAAAUAAGAAAUUUUGCAAUACCAUUUAUUUCUAGGUUGAAAUUAUAUGUUUGAAUUAAAUCUUCCACAUUAAUUAUUGUUGAAUUAAUUAUUUUCACAGAAUUUACAUGUAUAUUAAUUUUUUCUUUUUUUUUUUGUUUAUAAUCUUUUUUAAUGAGGUAUUUUCUUUGAAUCCAAAUAAAGUUUUUAUUUUAUUGCUGCUGGAAGUGUCAGACUGACUGUUUUUGUUAAUUUGAGUAUGCUCUCAAAUGUGUAGCAAUUCUAGAGUACAACAGAUUGAACUAAUAUACGCAAUAACUCUUAAAACUUUAUAGUCAUAUUAUUUUUUAUAGUCGAAUUUUCAUGGAUUGCUUAUUGUCCAGCUUAAAAUAUUUCUUAGAUCAGGCCUUACAAGGCUGCAAAUAACCUAUUGAACCACCCGGCUUUAACUUUCAUUUCAUCUAGGUUUAACAUCUUGUAUUGUGGCAAACUCAUUUAAAGCAACAGAUCUGUAUAUUGUUUUACACUAUUAUGAAUUUCAUAUUUUAUAUUGAAUGAUGUAUUCAAAUUGAAUCCAGCGUCAAUCGAAUUUUGGUGAUUAUCUCUCGUUUUUUUUAUUAUAAGAUACCCAAGUAUCGAAAAUAAAAAAAAAUGUAUCUAUGUUAUACUUUUACUAGUUUUAACAUUUUAAGUGGAUAGAAACUGAUAGAUAAUCGAAUGACGAGACCAAAGACGCAUCAAGACACAGCUAUGGGCCAAAAUGCAGCGCACAAAAUGUUAUAAGUAUUUUAAGGCGUUUACACACGAAUGGAAUAAUGUAAUAAAUAUUUGAUGAUAUUUAUGUAUUUGUCUGAUGGUUGAUAUGCGAUCUCUGACGUAAUAGGUAUUUUUAUGCUUUGAUAUUAAGUUAUAACAUUAAAAGCACCUACAAGCGUCGUAGUGUUGUUAUAUUAUUCCUUUAUCUAUGAUGUUAUUUCAUCAAACCUAAACUUUUUAUUAGGUGUUUGUGUAAGCACAAGUAAUGUUAAAUAAUAAAAUUAUUUCGAUUUAACGAUGUGUGCCAAAUACACCGAAUCACAAUAGUUUCAUUCAUUCAAUAAUGAAAAACGAUUAUUCCGUGUGUAAAUUUAUAAUAAAGGGUAGUGAUACUGCCAUUACGCCAAUUGUGUGACUGAAUGUUUAAUCUAUUAUUAUUAAUGUAUUUAGUACAUAUUUUGUAGUCAUCUUUGAAGUUAUUAACUAGUCGAAAUAAACUAUUAAAAUGA